GAUGAACGCUGGCGGCGUGCCUAAUACAUGCAAGUCGAGCGAACAGACGAGGAGCUUGCUCCUCUGACGUUAGCGGCGGACGGGUGAGUAACACGAGGAUAACCUACCUAUAAGACUGGGAUAACUUCGGGAAACCGGAGCUAAUACCGGAUAAUAUAUUGAACCGCAUGGUUCAAUAGUGAAAGACGGUUUUGCUGUCACUUAUAGAUGGAUCCGCGCCGCAUUAGCUAGUUGGUAAGGUAACGGCUUACCAAGGCAACGAUGCGUAGCCGACCUGAGAGGGUGAUCGGCCACACUGGAACUGAGACACGGUCCAGACUCCUACGGGAGGCAGCAGUAGGGAAUCUUCCGCAAUGGGCGAAAGCCUGACGGAGCAACGCCGCGUGAAUGAUGAAGGUCUUCGGAUCGUAAAACUCUGUUAUUAGGGAAGAACAAAUGUGUAAGUAACUAUGCACGUCUUGACGGUACCUAAUCAGAAAGCCACGGCUAACUACGUG
rnacentral:rRNA from 1 species